rnacentral:snoRNA from 1 species
UUUUAUGAUGAUAGUUUUCAAUUUUUGCCAGCCUAUUGAGAGCAGAAUGUUUCCGCAAGAACCAUUUUUAAGACCACCCCGUGUUUAUUCGCGUCUCCGCUAUUUGGUUUUGAUUUAAGUGCCGUUUUGGCGCUUGUUUCUCUUAAAUCGAAUCUUGUGGGAAUUGGGCGUUUUUUAAUGCAAUGAGUGGCUGGUGUUUUUUUGUCAUAGUUACACUGAGA